GGAUAAUUCUUUUUUUUCUUUUAAGGAGGAAAUGCUCUUUCCUCUGUUAGGCAGCUAGGAUGAGUUGUUUAUCAGUUUAAUGCAUUUAGAAAUAGAGCUGGUUGGGGUGAGUUGUGACUUAAGCUCUAUCAGAGCCUUAGAAUUCAAGCUCCAAGAGUCCAGGGAGAUAUCUCACCACUUUCCAGCUCAGCCCCUGACUAUCUUGGCCACUUGAGAUAUCUUAUAAAAUUUGAAUUGGGUGGGGUUUGGUUCAGUUUUGGUUAAUUUCAGUUUACCUCUGGUUUUAAAUGCUUUGAUGGUGAGUUCACAACUCUCCAUCCAGGGGAGCCUGGUACCAAUCACUGCCGGACUUUGAAACUGAGAGAUGUUGAAACUAUGAGACUAAAGUUUUAUGACUGUGAGACCACGAGACCAUGAGAGUUGGAGCUCAUGACACUUUGAAACUGUGUGACUAUAAGAUUUUGAGAUCUUUUGCUUUCUGUCUCCACCUCCCAGUCUCCACUUACUCAGCAGAAUUCCCCAUAAGACAAUUGCUUAGGAUUAGUAGAGAAGAUUAUCUUCACAUUCAAGGCUCUUUCACAUUCUAAUCUGAUAAGUCAGCCCUGAAGUUUCUUGAAUUCAAUUUCUCCUUAUCUGAGCAUAGAUGGUCCUUCUCUGGCAGCUUGCUCCUCCAUCCAUCCUCUCCACAACGUCAGUGACUGGCCCCAGGUGCUGCGGGGCCCUCUCGGCGGGGAUGAGGAAAUCAGUGAGGCAGUGCAGCCCGUCCCCUCCGUGGAGCCUCUCAGCCAUGCUGAACAGCUGCCAGAGUACUGUGGCUGCUGUGGCCUCAAAAGGAAGAGAUGGCCUCCAGCUGCUCCGAUGCCCAAAUCCAGGCCCAUUCCUCCUGCAGACCCACAAGGCAGGACUUCCCUUGUCCAGCUGUGGUCAGCAAGCUCCCGUCGAGUCUCCUGGCCUCUGCUUCACUGGUUCAUCUUCUGAAAACUGCCCAACAUGAGGAGGAGAGGGGCUGAUGCUCACUGAGGUCCUAGAGACAGCUCUGGUCACUCACAGGGCAGCCACGGCCUCCCUGGUCCCUUCUCUGCCCUUCGAUUCCAUCAUGACUGGAUCUGGCCCCCACACUCAGCUUGGGGGGCACCUUUCCACCAACUCCCACUCCCUGUGCAGCCCUCUCCACUCAGAGCCUGGUCUAGGGAAGAGCUGCCCAAGAGAAGUUGUCUGCCGGCCGGGAGGCCACUUCCCAGGUCAGGUAAGUUGAGGAAGCCUUGGGUAAGCCAAGUGAAACAACUGCUACAGCCUCUCAGAUGCCAACGCACCCCUGCGUGACCACAUGCGGGGCCCCCAUGCAGCCCCUUCCUGGCUGUCACCUGCGCUCUGGGCACUUCAUGACAAGGGAGAGACAGAGACAUGAGGCCGUCCCCAGAGCUGCUGCCAGGGGAGCUCCCCAAUCAUCUGUGGGUGGUGCUUGUUCUUGCUCUUGGGGAGGGGCUCUGAUGAAUGAGCCAGGUUACACGACUGGAGGUGGACGUUGAGAGUCUGCACCUCAGAACAGAUAUCAACAAACCCGUGGCCUGAGGGCCAUCCAGGCUGGAGUGCUGCAGCGUGUGCUCUGCACAGGCCGACUCAACUCUACUGACUGAGCGUGUCCAGGACACACAAAUCAUAAGAGGGAGAAGCAGAUGUGAGGAAGCCUGAGAGCAGAAACCAUUACAUUCCAGCAAAAUCAAAUUACCUUGAAUACAUUAAACUCAGCUUAAGAAAACAGGAAAGUGUACAGUACAUUUUAGAAAUAUUUCCAUAAGAAACGCUUAAAAAAGAACACUGUUUUGGUGUCUUAAAGAGUAAAGUUCAAUCGUCUGGAACAUUUACUCUGUUUAGCAUUUCCUUCCCUGAUGUUUGCUGGGCUGAACAGGUUUGUACAAGGGUUGGGUGUGUACGUGAGGGCCAGUGAGUCUCUAAGGGCCAGUGUGCAUAUGAGGGCCAGGUGUCUGUGUGUG
rnacentral:lncRNA from 1 species